GCCCUUUCUAAGUUCUCAGCUGCCAGAAACAGGAGAUUCAAUACGGAUUUACUUGAGGGCCUUUGCCAGAGAUCUGCGGGAUUCAAUCUGCCCUCUAACAUAAAACGGCCUCACCCCAGCUUCCAUCUAAGACAUGAGAGAGCAUCACAUGGCUGGCUCAUACAAGCCUCUGCUAGAGAUGCACUGUGACCAAGGCCCGUGGCCAGCCCUAGGAGAAAACCUCAUCCUUCCAACCCUUUGAAGGAUCACUCUAGCAGGACUUUAAAACAACUUAAAAAUGAAGGCAAGUUUCCAAAA